GGCUUGGUGGUGGAAUGGUUCACAUCUGCAUUCGAUAGCCUACUCUCUUAAGCUGUUUAUACAGAAGAAGCCCGUUCGAUUCGGGCCCAAGCCA